CCUACGGGGGGCAGCAGUGGGGAAUAUUGCACAAUGGGGGAAACCCUGAUGCAGCGACGCCGCGUGAGUGAAGAAGUAUUUCGGUAUGUAAAGCUCUAUCAGCAGGGAAGAAAAUGACGGUACCUGAUUAAGAAGCGCCGGAUAACUACGUGCCAGCAGCCGCGGUAAUACGUAGGGGGAAAGCGGUAUCCGGAUUUACUGGGGGUAAAGGGAGCGUAGACGGCAGCGCAAGUCUGACGUGAAAUGCGGGGGCGUAACACCGGAACUGCUUUGGAAACUGUGCAGCUAGAGUGCAGGAGAGGUAAGUGGAAUUCCGAGUGUAGCGGUGAAAUGCGUAGAUAUUAGGCGGAACACCAGUGGCGAAGGCGGCUUACUGGACUGUAACUGACGCUGAGGCUCGAAAGCGUGGGGAGCAAACAGGAUUAGAUACCCGUGUAGUC
rnacentral:rRNA from 1 species